UACAGAGGGGGCAAGCGUUGUUCGGAAUUACUGGGCGUAAAGGGCGCGUAGGCGGCCUGGCAAGUGGAAGGUGAAAUCCCUCGGCUUAACCGAGGAACUGCCCUCCAAACUGCUUGGCUUGAGACCGGGAGAGGUGAGUGGAAUUCCCAGUGUAGCGGUGAAAUGCGUAGAUAUUGGGAGGAACACCAGUGGCGAAGGCGGCUCACUGGACCGGUACUGACGCUGAUGCGCGAAAGCGUGGGGAGCGAACGGG
rnacentral:rRNA from 1 species